UCGAACGGUAACAGGAUGUGCUUGCWCAUCGCUGACGAGUGGCGGACGGGUGAGUAAUGCUUGGGAACUUGCCUUUGCGAGGGGGAUAACAGUUGGAAACGACUGCUAAUACCGCAUAAUGUCUUCGGACCAAACGGGGCUUAGGCUCCGGCGCAAAGAGAGGCCCAAGUGAGAUUAGCUAGUUGGUAAGGUAACGGCUUACCAAGGCGACGAUCUCUAGCUGUUCUGAGAGGAAGAUCAGCCACACUGGGACUGAGACACGGCCCAGACUCCUACGGGAGGCAGCAGUGGGGAAUAUUGCACAAUGGGGGAAACCCUGAUGCAGCCAUGCCGCGUGUGUGAAGAAGGCCUUCGGGUUGUAAAGCACUUUCAGUUGUGAGGAAAAGUUAGUAGUUAAUACCUGCUAGCCGUGACGUUAACAACAGAAGAAGCACCGGCUAACUCCGUGCCAGCAGCCGCGGUAAUACGGAGGGUGCGAGCGUUAAUCGGAAUUACUGGGCGUAAAGCGCACGCAGGCGGUUUGUUAAGCUAGAUGUGAAAGCCCCGGGCUCAACCUGGGAUGGUCAUUUAGAACUGGCAGACUAGAGUCUUGGAGAGGGGAGUGGAAUUCCAGGUGUAGCGGUGAAAUGCGUAGAUAUCUGGAGGAACAUCAGUGGCGAAGGCGACUCCCUGGCCAAAGACUGACGCUCAUGUGCGAAAGUGUGGGUAGCGAACAGGAUUAGAUACCCUGGUAGUCCACACCGUAAACGCUGUCUACUAGCUGUGUGUGCCUUUAAGGCGUGCGUAGCGAAGC
rnacentral:rRNA from 1 species